GGAGAGAUGGCUGAGUGGCCGAUAGCACCGGUCUUGAAAACCGGAGUCCGGGUAACCGGACCGUGAGUUCGAAUCUCACUCUCUCCG
rnacentral:tRNA from 1 species